rnacentral:rRNA from 1 species
GACGAACGCUGGCGGCGUGCUCAACACAUGCAAGUCGAACGGAAAGGCCCUGCUUUUGUGGGGUGCUCGAGUGGCGAACGGGUGAGUAACACGUGAGUAACCUGCCCUUGACUUUGGGAUAACUUCAGGAAACUGGGGCUAAUACCGGAUAGGAGCUCCUGCUGCAUGGUGGGGGUUGGAAAGUUUCGGCGGUUGGGGAUGGACUCGCGGCUUAUCAGCUUGUUGGUGGGGUAGUGGCUUACCAAGGCUUUGACGGGUAGCCGGCCUGAGAGGGUGACCGGCCACAUUGGGACUGAGAUACGGCCCAGACUCCUACGGGAGGCAGCAGUGGGGAAUAUUGCACAAUGGGCGGAAGCCUGAUGCAGCAACGCCGCGUGCGGGAUGACGGCCUUCGGGUUGUAAACCGCUUUCGCCUGUGACGAAGCGUGAGUGACGGUAAUGGGUAAAGAAGCACCGGCUAACUACGUGCCAGCAGCCGCGGUGAUACGUAGGGUGCGAGCGUUGUCCGGAUUUAUUGGGCGUAAAGGGCUCGUAGGUGGUUGAUCGCGUCGGAAGUGUAAUCUUGGGGCUUAACCCUGAGCGUGCUUUCGAUACGGGUUGACUUGAGGAAGGUAGGGGAGAAUGGAAUUCCUGGUGGAGCGGUGGAAUGCGCAGAUAUCAGGAGGAACACCAGUGGCGAAGGCGGUUCUCUGGGCCUUUCCUGACGCUGAGGAGCGGAAGCGUGGGGAGCGAACAGGCUUAGAUACCCUGGUAGUCCACGCUGUAAACGGUGGGUACUAGGCGUGGGGUCCAUUCCACGGGUUCCGUGCCGUAGCUAACGCUUUAAGUACCCCGCCUGGGGAGUACGGCCGCAAGGCUAAAACUCAAAGGAAUUGACGGGGCCCCGCACAAGCGGCGGAGCAUGCGGAUUAAUUCGAUGCAACGCGUAGAACCUUACCUGGGUUUGACAUGGAUCGGGAGUGCUCAGAGAUGGGUGUGCCUCUUUUGGGGUCGGUUCACAGGUGGUGCAUGGCUGUCGUCAGCUCGUGUCGUGAGAUGUUGGGUUAAGUCCCGCAACGAGCGCAACCCUUGUUCACUGUUGCCAGCACGUUAUGGUGGGGACUCAGUGGAGACCGCCGGGGUCAACUCGGAGGAAGGUGGGGAUGACGUCAAGUCAUCAUGCCCCUUAUGUCCAGGGCUUCACGCACGCUACAAUGGCUGGUACAGAGAGUGGCGAGCCUGUGAGGGUGAGCGAAUCUCGGAAAGCCGGUCUCAGUUCGGAUUGGGGUCUGCAACUCGACCUCAUGAAGUCGGAGUCGCUAGUAAUCGCAGAUCAGCAACGCUGCGGUGAAUACGUUCCCGGGGCU